rnacentral:tRNA from 1 species
GCCGACCUAGCUCAACGGUAGAGCACGGCUUUCGUAAAGCCGGGGUUGAGGGUUCGAAUCCCUUGGUCGGCU